AACGAACGCUGGCGGCAGGCUUAACACAUGCAAGUCGAACGCCCCGCAAGGGGAGUGGCAGACGGGUGAGUAACGCGUGGGAAUCUACCCAUCUCUGCGGAAUAGCUCUGGGAAACUGGAUUUAAUACCGCAUACGCCCUACGGGGGAAGAUUUAUCGGGGAUGGAUGAGCCCGCGUUGGAUUAGCUAGUUGGUGGGGUAAAGGCCUACCAAGGCGACGAUCCAUAGCUGGUCUGAGAGGAUGAUCAGCCACAUUGGGACUGAGACACGGCCCAAACUCCUACGGGAGGCAGCAGUGGGGAAUAUUGGACAAUGGGCGCAAGCCUGAUCCAGCCAUGCCGCGUGAGUGAUGAAGGCCCUAGGGUUGUAAAGCUCUUUCACCGAUGAAGAUAAUGACGGUAGUCGGAGAAGAAGCCCCGGCUAACUUCGUGCCAGCAGCCGCAGUAA
rnacentral:rRNA from 1 species